rnacentral:rRNA from 1 species
UUCCGGUUGAUCCUGCCGGACCCGACUGCUAUUUGGGUGAGAAUAAGCCAUGCGAGUUGAAUGGGAUGCCUAAAGUUCCCAUAGCAAACUGCUCAGUAACACAUGAUCAACUUACCCUAUAGAGAAAAAUAACCUCGGGAAACUGAGGAUAAUGUUUCAUAGUUGAAUUGGCUUGGAAAAGUUUUUCGACGAAAGGGGUAAAAAAAAUGGUUUUUAUCUGCUAUAGGAUAGGAUCGUGUUCGAUUAUGGUUGUUGGUGAGGUAAUGGCUCACCAAGCCGAUAAUCGAUAGGGGCCGUGAGAGCGGGAGCCCCGAGAUGGGUACUGAGACAACGACCCAGGCCUUACGAGGCGCAGCAGGCGCGAAACCUCCGCAAUACACGAAAGUGUGACGGGGUUACCCAAAGUGUUCAAUUUUGAACUGUGGUAGGUGAGUAAUGUUCCCUACUAGAAAGGAGAGGGCAAGGCUGGUGCCAGCCGCCGCGGUAAAACCAGCUCUUCAAGUGGUCGGGAUAAUUAUUGGGCUUAAAGUGUCCGUAGCCGGUUUAGUAAGUUCCUGGUAAAAUCGGGUAGCUUAACUAUCUAUAUGCUAGGAAUACUACUAUACUAGAGGGCGGGAGAGGUCUGAGGUACUACAGGGGUAGGGGUGAAAUCUUAUAAUCCUUGUUGGACCACCAGUGGCGAAGGCGUCAGACUGGAACGCGCCUGACGGUGAGGGACGAAAGCCAGGGGAGCGAACCGGAUUAGAUACCCGGGUAGUCCUGGCCGUAAACGAUGCAUACUAUGUGAUGGCACGGCCAUGAGCCGUGUCAGUGCCGUAGGGAAACCGUUAAGUGUGCCGCCUGGGAAGUACGGUCGCAAGGCUAAAACUUAAAGGAAUUGGCGGGGGAGCACCACAAGGGGUGAAGCCUGCGGUUCAAUUGGAAUCAACGCCGGU